GUACACGCUGUGACUAGCAUAUCAAUAAGCGGAGGAAAAGGAAUAUCAUUACAGCGAAAUGAAACUACCUACGCUUAGGAUGUUGACAGCAGUAUAGACUGUACACGCUGUGACUAGCAUAUCAAUAAGCGGAGGAAAAGGUACCUACGCUUAGGAUGUUGACGAGACUGUCGAUCUCAUCUAUACAUGACUCUGUGCAUAUCAAUAAGCGGAGGAAAGAGUCACUACCUACGCUUAGGAUGUUGACAGCAGUAUAGACUGUACACGCUGUGACUAGCAUAUCAAUAAGCGGAGGAAAAGAAACUAACAAGGAUUCCCCUAGUAACGGCGAGUGAAGCGGGAAGAGCUCAAAUUUGAAAUCUUAAAGGGUUUCCCUUUACGAAUUGUAGUUUAAAGAAGUGUUUUCUGUUGAGGUUUUGGUAAAAGUUCUUUGGAAUAGGACAUCAUAGAGGGUGAGAAUCCCGUAUUUGACCUUUACUUUCAACUUUGUGAUACACUUUCAAAGAGUCGGAUUGUUUGGGAAUGCAGUCCAAAAUGGGUGGUAAAUUUCAUCUAAAGCUAAAUAUUGGCGAGAGACCGAUAGCGAACAAGUACCGUGAGGGAAAGAUGAAAAGAACUUUGAAAAGAGAGUUAAACAGUACGUGAAAUUGUCAAAAGGGAAGCGUUUGACACCAGUGUUGUUCUUCUGAAAAUCAAUUAAAGAACUGUUUAUGCUAAGUUGUUUAGACUUUAUCAGCUAACUGUUUAGUUUUGAGCUUUUCUUUAAUGCACUUUUCAGUUAACAAGUCAACAUCAAUUUCUUUUGCUGUAAAAAAGCUUGAGGAAGGUGGCUUGAGAUUCGUCUUAAGUGUUUAUAGCCUCUUGCCUAUGCAGUCGGAGAGAUUGAGGUCUGCAGCGUAGAUCCUUCGGGGCUAAAUGCAUUUGUGCUAAGUUAUAGCAUUUAUAGACAACUUGUUGACUAUGAUUUGUCUUGUAGCUUACUCGCUUAUGUUAUUUUACCUACGCUUAGGAUGUUGACAGCAGUAUAGACUGU
rnacentral:rRNA from 1 species